CUAGUUAGUUACUGUCUAUGGUCAAACGAUUCCGGCAUUAUAUCGGUCAUUUAAAUCAUAAUGUUAUAGUGAUCAAACGUGGAAAAUUGUCAAAAAGAACAAAGAAACAAGUGUGAUUACAGCAUGGGCUCUUUAAUGAAACGGACCCUUCUCCGUUUGGUGACUGGUUCCCGGUCUAGGUAUCAAUCCACAGCUACUGUUAUGAAUGAAAUGACUGAAGAGUAUCAACGCCAAGUGUUAACAAGAGAGGAAGUGGCGUCAUUUAACAAUGAUGGAUACUUAGUGCUGAAAAAUUUCUUAACCGAAGAAGAAAAGCUAAACGUCAAAAAACUGGGGAGACGAAAUUCAAGCAUGGCCGGAAACUGCAAACAAGUGGUUUUCUUAUUUCGAAACUGUAAAUGGAAAGAAAACAUUGUGUCGCACAGAAAAUUUUAUUCCAUACCAUGAAGGUAUGAGAAACCUUAUUGAAAAUAAAAUCACAUCCUGUAUAUCGGAUUGUUUUGACGAACCGGCAUGCUUGUUUAAAGAAAAAGUAAAUUACAAACUGCCGAAUGGUGGAGCGUUUCCGCCGCACCAAGACGCGCCUGCGUAUGUCACAUUCGACCAAAAGCUACACAUUACCGCCAUGGUUGCCAUUGAUGAAAUGACGAUAGAAAAUGGUUGUCUCGAACUAGUUUCCGGUCGUCAUAAAGAAGGCGUGCUACGUCAGGAGGAAAGUGGUAAUAUACACCCUGACGUUGUAGACACGAUGAACUGGAAGCCGGCUCCUUGCGAAGCAGGUUCUAUAAUGAUUUUUAAUGCUUUUGUACCACAUAGGUCUGCAAAAAACAUGACGAAUAAAGCUCGCCGGGUAUUUUAUUUAACUUUUAAUGCCGUCAGCGAUGGAGGCUAUCUUAGAAAUGCGUAUUAUGGUCAUAAAAGGAAAAUGUUUCCACCGGAAGCGGAGAGAAUAAGUGGUGUUGACUAUAGCGAAGGUGCUAAAAUUUAUAACCUUGCAACACCAAUAACAAACAAGAAAGAUUAAGCUUGCAAUCGAAAUAACAACCAAGAAAGACUAAGCUUGCAAUGCAAAAACUAAGUUGUGAGGAAUUCGGACGACUAACAUUCUUGAUGGUUUUAUUAAUAUUUGAAAGAAGUCUUUAAUGAAUAAUGAAAGAAAAAAGAUGACGUUGUUUCUUCCAUGACGUGGCUCCAGACAAAACCGGGAAACUGAUGGACUCGCUGUCUGUAUAUCUGCUUUGUGUGGAAUAGCCGUUUGAAGCAAUCAGACAGGGAGCUCCUGACACCUGUUUGAUGCAAUCUGGCUGGGUACUGCUGACACCUGUAUGAAGCAAUCAGGUCGGGAGCUGUUGACACCUGCAUAAUGACCUUCAUACUGAUGUCUAUUCUGUUGUGCACUUAGCAGUAUUCGAAUGACGUUAGUUGUUCACCCAUAUAAAAGAUGACAUGCUGUAAAAAAAUUUAAAAAUAUUAAACACGCCCUUCCGGAGUGACUGAUGUAGCUCAAAUGUGGUUUUUAGUUUAUAUCUAUAAAAUAAAUGCAUUUAGAGCAAAACAAUAAUUCAAACGUAACCAAAAACGUUUAUCGUCAAUUGACCCCUUAUUGGAGUUAUUGUCUUUUAAAGACAUUUUUUUCGUCAUUUUUGUAAUCUUUUACAAAGUUCUUCUCCUCUGAAACUACAUGGCCAAAUGGAAUUAAACUUGUCCAUACUCAUCAUUAGGGUAUCAAGUUUAAGAAAAUGUGUCCGAUGACUCCGCCAAUCAACCAACAGGGUCGCCAUGGUUAAAAAUAGAGCAAAGAGGUAAAAUGCAGAGCUUGGCUUAUAUCUAUAAAAACUAACGCAUUUAGAGAAAAACUGACGGGUUAGAAAUGUUCACCAGGUCACGAUCUAUGCUCUGUAAUUUCAGAAGAAACAGACAUUGUUGAUUUGCUGCCCCUGAAUUGUUCAUUUUAAGGAAUUUAUCAGUUUUUAGUAAUUAUCUUGAAUAUUUAUCAAUUAUGGACUUUUGACGAGGUCAAUACGUUAAAUAUGGAGCUGUUCGGAUUAUAUUGACCGAGGACGAAGUUUUAUAUCAUUUUUUUGUCAAAAAUUUAAUGAAAAGUAUGGGUCACCGGGUUUUUUUCACGCUACAGGUUGUGCAAAAUUGGCAGAUUUUGUAUACAUUAUGAUUAGAAAACUCAAUUUUGUGUGAUAAAAAGAAACUACACCAAAAACGUUUAAGAUAGAAUAUGAGAAGAUAGUUCUAACAAUAUGCUUUAAGAUAAGAAAAAGAAAAAUGGGGUCACCGGACUUGUUUUCUUGCUACAUAAUAAAAUAGGUAGAUUCACAACACAUUCUAUUGUAAAAGUUACUUUAUCUGAGUUAUCUCUACUUAAAUUGCAGGGUAAUAAAAAAUGAAUCA